UGCGAAGCCGACAGGUUAUCCGAGUGAUUUCUGCUAAAGAAAUCUUUUGUUAGUCCUAGAAACACUAACGAAUAAGGGGUGGGCAAGUUCUGGUGUCAGCCGCCGCGGUAAAACCAGCACCUCAAGUGGUCAGAAUGAUUAUUGGGCCUAAAGCAUCCGUAGCCGGCUCUGUAAGUUUUCGGUUAAAUCUGUACGCUCAACGUACAGGCUGCCGGGAAUACUGCAUAGCUAGGGAGUGGGAGAAGUAGACGGUACUCGGUAGGAAGUGGUAAAAUGCUUUGAUCUAUCGAUGACCACCUGUGGCGAAGGCGGUCUACUAGAACACGUCCGACGGUGAGGGAUGAAAGCUGGGGGAGCAAACCGGAUUAGAUACCCGGGUAGCCCCAGCUGUAAACUAUGCAAACUCAGUGAUGCAUUGGCUUGUGGCCAAUGCAGUGCUGCAGGGAAGCCGUUAAGUUUGCCGCCUGGGAAGUACGUACGCAAGUAUGAAACUUAAAGGAAUUGGCGGGGGAGCAC
rnacentral:rRNA from 1 species